CAGUCGCCGCGGGAAUACGUAGGUCCCGAGCGUUGUCCGGAUUUAUUGGGCGUAAAGGGAGCGCAGGCGGUCAGGAAAGUCUGGAGUAAAAGGCUAUGGCUCAACCAUAGUGUGCUCUGGAAACUGUCUAACUUGAGUGCAGAAGGGGAGAGUGGAAUUCCAUGUGUAGCGGUGAAAUGCGCAGAUAUAUGGAGGAACACCAGUAGCGAAAGCGGCUCUCUGGUCUGUCACUGACGCUGAGGCUCGAAAGCGUGGGUAGCGAACAGGAUUAGAUACCCCGAGUAGUCCCUGUCUCUUAUAA
rnacentral:rRNA from 1 species